AUGGAAGGCCUAUUGCAUUGGGACUUUGUCCCGGGCUUAGCCCUGGCGGAUCAGGUGAGAAGAAAAUUUGGUUCUACGGUGCAUUUCUCCCCCUCUCGCGACCCCAAGGAGUUUUUCCUUGUGGUUACUUCCUCUUCAGCCUCUUUCCCACUCACGGAAGAAUCUGUGGGUCUUGCACUCCAAUGCUGCAUUGGGGGUUUUCAUGUUGGAUUCAAAGUGCACAAGCUUAAUCCCCGAGCUUUUCGCUUCUCGGUGGCCAAUAACAAAGUGGGACACUUCAUUUAUGGUCUCAAGGACCGUGUGUGGCCAGAUUUCAUUUGCCACUUUCAUCUGUUCAAUGGCCAUUUCAAUUGUGCCCCAUCAUCCAAUUCUAGUUGGCAUGCGGAUGUGGUUUUACCUGAGCUAACAGCCUGA
rnacentral:rRNA from 1 species